AUAGCUGCCUACCUUAAAGGCACAACCGCUGAUGUGUUUGGAGCCUAUACCCACAUAAAAGUGCACUAAAAAAGUCACUUUACGUUUACCAUACAAUAUUGCACUCUUGUGUUUUUCCUAUUUUUUAUGUACAACCCCCUAAAACUGAGGGGUAAGUAUAUAUGUUUUUAUGUACUUUUUCCUUAACACCUACAUUGCACUGCACUCUAAGUG